rnacentral:sRNA from 1 species
GAUCUAACCCAGGAGCAGACAGAGAAACUGCUGCAGUUUCAGCUAUUUCAGAUGGGAAAGAAUAAGGACAUAGGUUUUAAGGAGAGUUAAUGCAGGUUGCUGUUUGAACAACUGGAGAAGGAUAACAUGGACAGAGAGAAGGGGGAACUAAAGGAGUUAUGCAGGCCAGCAGAGGAAGAAAUGAUCCCUUUUCUGCUUGCACAGGAGGAAGAAAUUUAUGACCCUCAUCCUUUUAAAUGAUAGCCUGAACGCUGGGCUGUAGAAUCAAAUUUAUAACUCAUUUUGAAAAUCUUUGUUUUGGUUUCACCUAUUACCUAAAGGAAAAAAAAAAC